rnacentral:tRNA from 2 species
GGAGAGGUGGCAGAGUGGUUGAAUGCGCCGGAUUCGAAAUCCGGUUCGGCGGUUUUCCGUCGACGGGGGUUCGAAUCCCCCCCUCUCCG